rnacentral:lncRNA from 1 species
GUUUUAAUCCCAGCACUCAGGAGACAAAGGUAGGCAGAUCUCUAAGUUCAAGGCCAGCCUGGUCUACAGAGUUAAGUUCCAGGACAGCCAGUACUACACAGAGAAACCUUUCUUUUUUUAAAAAAAAAAAAAAAAAAAAAAAAAAAAAAACAGAUAUGGAGGAGUUAAAAUUAUAUUGAAGUUUUUACCAAAAUGGUAACAUCUAGUGAUAAUAUUAGAGGAAAUCUUUUUUUAAGUACUUCCUCAAGUCAUACCAAUUAAAUUGUUCUUAAGGAGUUUUUUAGAGCAAGCUGACAAGGUCUCUUGGAAAUACUUAAAAUUAACUUUUCUGUUCAUAUUUACCUUUAAAACUACUUACUACUAGGGAAAAGUUUUCUAGUAUACAUAUGGGUCAAAAGUUAAUUCUCAACUUACAAACUUUUAAUCUUCAACUGUGUUAAAUUUUGGGUUAACCCCUCUCAUAUAUAAGUUGGCAUAUAAAGUCAUUGUUGUCAACUGGAAUAAUUCUAAAAGCUAAUAUGCCAGAAAAGACCUAUAAUACAUUUGAAAAUAAGGAAAUAAUUCCAGUGGUUGCUUCCUAUUGAAAACACACUGGGAAUACAUGUAGAAAAGACUACAGAAAUAACUUAUAGACUUACUAUUUUCAGUUAAGCAGCACAAUGGCUAAAAAAUGUUAUUUAAUAAAGUAUGGACUUAAUGUAUAAGAACUUUUUAAGGUAAAAUUCCUACUUUUCUAUUUCCUGUCUUGAAUAAUCUUCAUAGGACAUUAGAAUUUUACAGUUGACAACAAUGACUUUAUAUGCCAACUUAUGUAUGAGUCACAAACCAUUCAAAAUAGAAAUUCUAAAAAUUAAAACAUAUUUCCCAUGAAUUUGCAAAAAAACCAAUACUUAAAUUAUGGUUUAUAAGAACAUAUCUUAGGGGCAAGAGAUGGCUCAGUGGGUAAGAAUACUUGUUCUUAUAGAAGACUUAGGUUUGAUUACCAGCACCCACGUGGCAGGUCACAACCGUCUGUAACUUUAGUUUUAAAGAAUCUACUACCCUUUUCUGACCUCUGUGGGCAGUAAACAUGUACAUGGUGUACAGACAUACAUACAAAAACACUCAGAUACAGUAUUUCAAAAAGAACGUAAGUUAGCUGGGUGUGGUGGCACACACAUUUGACACCAUCACUUGGGAAGAAAAGGCAAAAGAAUCUCUGUGAGUUUGAAGCCAGCCUAGUCUACAAAGCAAGUUCUAGGCCAGCCAGGCAAUUUAGUGAGUCCUAUUUCAAACAAAAACAUAUGUUAUUAUGUAUAACUCACCUUUAUGAACUGCUCGUGUAUCUGUUUGAUUGCUUUCAUUCUCUGGCUCUGAACAAUUCUAGACUGCUGAAAAAUCUUUUGUUGUUGUCGAAAAAGAUUCUAUAAACAUUAAAAAAAAAACGU